rnacentral:rRNA from 1 species
UACGUAGGCAGCGAGCGUUGUUCGGAGUUACUGGGCGUAAAGCGUGCGUAGGCGGUCUUGUAAGUCUGGUGUGAAAUCUCCCGGCUCAACUGGGAGGGUGCGCCGGAAACUGCAAGGCUGGAGUAUGGGAGAGGUAGGCGGAAUUCCUGGUGUAGCGGUGGAAUGCGCAGAUAUCAGGAGGAACACCGGUGGCGAAGGCGGGUCUCUGGGCCGAUACUGACGCUGAGGAGCGAAAGCGUGGGGAGCGAACAGG